CAAAAACAAAAACAAAGCAGAGAGAGGAUCCCCAGUCUAGUCCACAUCCAUCCCUUCCCACGCCGCCGCAACUCCCUCCCAAUCCCUCCCACGCCACUGAUGCAUCCACCUCCUCCAUCUCCGGCGACAGCGACGGUGGCUCCUGCGCCCGCGUCCUUGUUCUUCCUCCCCACAUGCGGCGGGUCGUCUCCUCUCCUCUUGUGUCUCUGCGGAGGAGCCGUCGUGGUCGGGCAGCAGAGGACCGCCGCCGGCUGGAGCCCUUAUCUUCUCCACGGCCAGGCACCGCCGACUGGAGCCCCAUCUCUUCACCCCUCCGGUCGCCGUGCAGGACCGCAGCGUCCAACCUCCCUCCUCCUUGGCGGCGCCAGAAACCCUAGUCGCCCCCUCUCUUCCGCCCAUGGCCAUGGCCAUGGCGAGCCCGCACGAGGUGCAGCAGGCACUUUCUCUUCCCAUCUCACCUCCCCGCGUGAAGGAAAGGGGCCAUGGGGAGAGAUGCUGCUGCGGGUGCCAAUUCAAGAGGGGGAGGGCCAUCGAGAAGGCCCGACGCCAUCCAUGGAAGAAGGGUCAUUUCCUCGAUUCAGUCCAUGGAGAUGACACUGCUGCUGUUCGAUUCAGUCCUUUUCUCCUCUCCCCAAUUUAAACAUGGACACAUCCGUCUUCUCCUCUGAUACUUUGUUGUUACAAUGCCUGGCUAGAGUUAGAAGAUAUUGGUACGCUCACACAUUUUCUGGUUCUGUUUGUAUUUUUUUUUGAAGGCAAUGGCAGUAGUUCUGCCUAUUCAUAUUAGAAGAGGGAAAAGGAACCAAAGUUCC